rnacentral:lncRNA from 1 species
CCAGCUCCAGCGGUCAAAACAGCAUGAGUGGAUAUGAUGAGUAUUGUAGGAACAUUUGAGUUAUUUCAAUCAGAAAAUUUCACAGGCAGCCAAUAAACAGUCAAGAGCAGUUUAUAACUCUAGAGGAAACUGGAGGAUCCACUUUGCACCAUGAGUUUGUGAAAUCUGGAUUAAAAAAUUACCUGUUCGGUGUUUCUCAUGCAAACUUUUCUUCUAGCAUGUAAUACUGAGUAAACUAAAACUAUUUUCUUCCGCUUUUCUCAGUUAACAUUUUUGGUAAUAUACUUAAGAGUGGUGUUAUCUGAGUUGAGCAGUUUAAGUGUGGUGAGUGGAUCCUUCAGCACACCACAGUGAACACACUGCGGGUAUGCACUUUUCUGGAGAACUCAAGGUGCUAGAUCCCUGAUGCAAAGAGAAGCAUUUCUCAUGUUCAUUCUAGUUUAUAUUUCCAUUUAAAAUCUUUAGGUUAAGUUUAAGCUUUUUAAAGGUAGUUUUGAGAAUUGAGACACAAUACUAAUACGGUAGGAAUUGGUGAGGCCUUGACUUAAAGCUUUCUUUGUACUGUGAUUUC